GACGAACGCUGGCGGCGUGCUUAACACAUGCAAGUCGAACGGAAAGGCCCUGCUUUUGUGGGGUGCUCGAGCGGCGAACGGGUGAGUAACACGUGAGUAACCUGCCCUUGACUUUGGGAUAACUUCAAGAAACUGGGGCUAAUACCGGAUAGGAGCUCCUGCUGCAUGGUGGGGGUUGGAAAGUUUCGGCGGUUGGGGAUGGACUCGCGGCUUAUCAGCUUGUUGGUGGGGUAGUGGCUUACCAAGGCUUUGACGGGUAGCCGGCCUGAGAGGGUGACCGGCCACAUUGGGACUGAGAUACGGCCCAGACUCCUACGGGAGGCAGCAGUGGGGAAUAUUGCACAAUGGGCGGAAGCCUGAUGCAGCAACGCCGCGUGCGGGAUGACGGCCUUCGGGUUGUAAACCGCUUUCGCCUGUGACGAAGCGUGAGUGACGGUAAUGGGUAAAGAAGCACCGGCUAACUACGUG
rnacentral:rRNA from 1 species